GCAGAAUCUCAUGUUGGUAGAUUUAAUUGUAGAUUUAAGGUUCCGUUGGUCAUUGCAAACUUUCCCUUUUUCAAACUGCUUCUCAACUUUCAUUAAAUAUUUUGUGGUUGGAAGAAAUUUCUUUUUUAUUUACUUUUGAAAAGCAAUCAAAUUCAUACUUCUCUGAAAAGAGAGUCAAACGUGUCUUUCAGAGUGCAAACCAGUCCAAUAUCAAAUGCACCCUAAUUUUGUGAAAGUUAGGAACUAGAAUUUCAGCAUAUGGGCAUAUAUGAUUUGAACUUUAACUCCAGUUUUGAAUUGAAACUUCCAGUAUCUGAUGAUUUAUAGAGGCCAUUGGAGAUAAAACUAUGAACCUGAAAGGUUGCCUUGCUAGUGUCUUAAUUGUUCCUCUGAGAGAGUUUCUUGUCAUGAGGAUAAAACUGUGCUAUAGUGUCUAAUUAUUUGGGCAAAUUUCAUACUGUUACAGGGGCAUGGUUUCCGAAAUGAG
rnacentral:misc_RNA from 1 species